UGGACACCUGAGGAGAAAGAGGCCUUCCAAAAGGCUUUCCACACCUACGGCAAGGAUUUCCAUCUCAUCCAGAAGCAGAUCCCGAGUAAGACCGUGGCACAGUGUGUGGAGUACUACUACUGCUGGAAAAAAGAGCAGAAACUUGCCAGCAGCACUCUUGCUCAGACUGCGGGCAAACGGAAGAGGAGGAAAAGGCCUCCCAGGAAGGAGAC